rnacentral:lncRNA from 1 species
CAGAAAAAAGGAACUUCAAGGUGUCACCCCCCAAAAGCAAGCAAAAUGCAAAACCAGCAGCUGCAGAGGAAAAUAAUAACCAUCAAAAGGCAAACAAAAGGCAUCUCCAUGGCAACCGCAACAGAGCAGCGUCCCAACCUCCUAAGUGGUAGCAAAAAAUCCCCAUACAUUGAAAGGAGGCUGCUAUAUGCAACAAACAUAACAUAGCCCCCAAAAAAUUAAGCAGGGUAUCC